rnacentral:lncRNA from 14 species
GGCUCAUAGCUGGGACAUACCAUCCCCUGCCACCAUGGCUGUGGGAGGACAGGGAGGAGGUGCUGCUGGUGGGACAUUAGUGGGGCUGACAGCAGCGGUAGGGUUAUGUCUCCCAAGACCAGAAGGAAGGGCAGAGGAGGGAGCCAGUGCCUCUAGGUGUCUGGGAUAGCAGCCUCGAAGGGGGCACACCUGGAAGAGGACAGAGGCCAGGCUUUGCACAACCACUCCUUCCACAUGACUGGGGACACUGUGGGCUCACCUGUAUGGGUGCCCUGGAUACCCUGUGCCAUGCCCUGCAUAGCCCCCUGCAUACAACCAGCAUCACAGGCUCAGAACUUCCCGGCUGUGUCCUGGGGACAUGAAGAGCUGCCCAUCCGAGGCAAGGUGGGAGGGGAUGGGGUAACCCCUGUGCUGAGCCAGCACCCGAGGCUGUCUCUAAGCCCUGAGGGUUUUCAGUGGGGGAGGCAGCCCUUCCCUGCAUUGGCAGCCCUCUCUUCCUGGGCAGCUUCCCUAGUAUGGGCAAGGCUGUGGCCAGACCCAGCUCCACGGGGACAGCCAGGCAACCUGGAACAGGACAUGCAACUCACGUUGAAAUUUUCCAAGCAGGCAGCUGCAUUAGCCUGUAGUCCUGCAAACAGGGGAACCUGUUCCCUGUCUGUUUCUCUACCCCAGGGAUGCACCAGGGUCUCAGAAACUCUGCUGGGCCAAGGCAUCCACGGGCACUGCCUCCAAUGCCAUCUCAGAUGGGAGCAGCUCCAGGCCGUGGCUGUGGAGCAUGAGUCCCACGGCAGAGCCCGUGCUCCCACGCAGUGCCACUGGCAGUCAGGGAGCCACCCAGAGCCACAGACUAGGUCAAGAUGCUUGUGCCACGACAGGAGUGGGGGUGAAAGGGGGGAGCCAGGGCCGCAUGGUGCCGCUCCAGGGCAGGUGAAGCAGCAGCUCCGGGCCGCGUGCCACCUCCGCUGUCCCUGCUCGCGGCGGCAGGGACGGCUUAGUGGGCGCCGCCUGUGCCCGCACACUCCCUGGCAGGUGAUGUCGCAGGAGGACGUGGGAGUUGUCACCCCCGCGCCGGAUAAUCCGCGGAGAUGAGAGCAGGCGAGGCGGCGGCUCCGCAGGUGGUCGCAGGAGCGGCCAUCCGACCCUUCCGCGGGACCGCGGGGCCCGGGCUGCCGGGCGGCGGGAAGGAGGUUAAAGCCACGCGGGUGGCCCGGGGUCGGGGCGACCUGGGCGUGCGGCCGUGGCACAGCCGGCGACCG